GGCAGCGAAAGGUCUUCUCCAAAAAGGGUUGAGCUGGAGGGUGGGCAGAGGGGAUAGAAUCUCCAUUUGGGAAGAUUGCUGGAUUCAGGGGGUCGACAAAAUUGGUGCACAAAAUAGAACAGACAGAGGUGAAUUAAAGUUAGUUUCGGAUCUUAUCAAUUUAACUAGCAGGAAAUGGAGAAGGGAUGUGAUCAAUAGUACCUUUCAAGAGGAAAUUGCUAGGAAAAUUCUUCAGACUCCCCUAGCAGAGUUUGAACAUGAGGACUUCCAGGUAUGGAAAGGGGAACUUUCUGGCGAGUUUUCGGUCCGCAGUGCCUAUAAACUAUUACAAGAUGCUAAUCGGAUCCCUAUUGAUUAUUUAUUACAGACCGAAUUAAAAGAAUUUUACAAGAAACUUUGGAGUUUACAGUUGCCCCCAAAAAUUACAUUUACAAUCUGGCGAAUUUCAUGGGAUUUUAUUCCUAAUUUUGCUAAUCUUAGAUACGGGAGGGUUACUGUCAAUGAUAGAUGUCCUCGAUGCUGUUCGGCGGUUGAAGAAAGUGUCCAUAUUUUUCGCGAAUGCCCUCUGACAAUUGAAGUUUGGCAACAGUUAAAUCUUUCAUGGGUUAUGAAUUAUGCGAAUCAAAAUAUAUGGGAAUGGCUUACCUGGGUCUUCAAGAGAAGCAACAACGGUCAGUGACUACUUUUCUGCUAUGCUCUAUGGAUGUUAUGGUACUCCAGAAAUCAGUUAGUACACGAGAGAAGAAAUACAACAGGUAGAGAUUUAGCACAUAAUAUUCAAAGACAUCUGGCAGAGUUUGAAGGUUUAAAAAACUUGAAAAAGAGUGAAAGUAUAAACAGAAGUCAUAAAACACAAGAAGGCAUACCGAGUACGAGAAUCUAUUUUGAUGCAGCGUUCGACAGUAGAACUUUUAGUUUAGCGACAGGUUUGGUAGGGUGGGAUUUGAGGGGAAACUUAAUGGUGUUAAAGACGGUUAUCCACAGAGAUGUCCCCUCACCUUUUGCAGCAGAGGCUUAUGCGUGCCUAGAAGGUGCAAAUUUAAGGAGUUCACUUAGAAUCCAAUCAGUCAGACUCAUGGGGGAUUCAAAAUCAAUUAUAAAAAAAUGUCAAGCAACUUCUAUAGACAAGUCAGUUAUCGGUGCCAUUAUCAGCGAUAUUCAGAAGAUGAAAGCAGAUUUUCAAGAAGUUAUUUUUCAGUUUAUUCACAGAUCGGAGAACACAUAUGCCCAUAGAUUAGCAAAGACCGCGCUCGAGAAAGAAGAAGAUACUUAUUUGAUGGGAGAAGAUCUGGAAGGUCACGCCUUCGCCUCGGCAGAAACUUGGCUUAAAGAACCAGAUUGAAGGAGGAAUGUGCGGAUGAGUAAUGAAAGUAGAUAGCAAAAUGAAAGUUAAAAAGAUUUUGGG
rnacentral:lncRNA from 1 species